rnacentral:rRNA from 1 species
UCUCAGAGAUUAAGCCAUGCAUGUCUAAGUACAUACCUUAAAACGGUGAAACCGCGAAUGGCUCAUUAAAUCAGCUAUGGUUCCUUAGAUCGUACACGCUACAUGGAUAACUGUAGUAAUUCUAGAGCUAAUACAUGCCACUAUGCCCUGACCCGCAAGGGAAUGGGUGGAUUUAUUAGAACAGAACCAACCGGGGAUGGCUUCGGCUGUCCCUGUUGUACUCUGUGAUGACUCUGGAUAACUUUACUGAUCGCAGUCGGCCUUGUGUCGGCGACGGAUCUUUCAAAUGUCUGCCCUAUCAAUUUGAUGGUAGGUGAUCUGCCUACCAGGAUAAUAACGGGUAACGGGGAAUCAGGGUUCGAUUCCGGAGAGGGAGCCUGAGAAACGGCUACCACAUCCAAGGAUGGCAGCAGGCGCGAAAAUUACCCACUCCCGGCACGGGGAGGUAGUGACGAAAAAUACGGAUACGGGACUCAAACGAGGCUCCGUAAUUCGAAUGAGUACAAUUUAAAUCCUUUAACGAGGACCAAUUGGAGGGCAAGUCUGGUGCCAGCAGCCG